rnacentral:rRNA from 1 species
CACGCCGUAAACGAUGGAUACUAGGUGUAGGGGGUAUCGACUCCCUCUGUACCGAAGCAAACGCAUUAAGUAUCCCGCCUGAGUAGUACGGUCGCAAGGCUAAAACUCAAAGAAAUUGACGGGGACCCGCACAAGCAGCGGAGCAUGUGGUUUAAUUCGAAGCAACGCGAAGAACCUUACCAAGAAUUGACAUCUAUAUGCCAACUCACGAAAUUGAGUCUUUCUUCGGAACAUAUAGACAGGUGG